rnacentral:lncRNA from 1 species
GGAAAAUUAAAAUGAAGGAGAAGAGGCCGAUAGAUGGUGGGGUAGAAAGAGGCUGAAGGCUCUUCCAGGGCUUAAGCCAACACCAACACACAGGUCACACAGGGAUGGGGAUGGUGAGCAAAUACUCCCACAAGUCUGACUCUAGGUUUCUGAUGCUUCAUAGCCAACAGACCCUAAGCCAAGGCUCUGCUGUGAGGAUGAGCUCCCAGUUUGUUCUUGAUUUAUCACGUCCUGACCUGAGAGAUGGGAAUAUGGGGAGAGAACGGCUCAUUUCCAGCAUAAGAAGAACAUGUGAGAGUUAGUGACAGUCACUGACAUUCUAAAGGCUCCCAAUGAGUCACUGUUGGAAAAGCUGCAACACCGGACUGGCAGAGUCCAGCCCAAGGUGGUGGGCCUCAGUGUCGGAGGUGACCGAGGCAGAGGAACACUCCGAAAGUGACAAAAGCGAUUAGCAAGUUCCUGUGCCGAAGGAGGAAGGAAACCAAACCGCCACCCUUAAGCAGCCUGUAGCAAGGUCUGUGCAGUGAAUCCUCCGCAGUCUCUCCUUGGCCAGGCUGAUUUCAUCUCGACACCCUAGGGACAGGUGUGACAGGGCAAUGAUGUACCCUCUGGGUUUCACCAGGCCGUUCCAGUUCAAUCCAGAUGAAGACUGACGUCAACUGUGCUUUGAGAAAGGCAUUACCAACGGUUUUUCUCACCCAGUUUCUGAAAGCUCUGGUACUCCAAAGCCGAAGAGUUCAAAAUGAUCUACCUGUGGGGGGUGGGAGAAUGCAGGCUGCGGGGGGGGGGGGGGGGGGGGUUCCUCAGGGUACCAGUGAGCUGGGCCUACUCUUGGGAGGAAAGAGAAGGGCAAAGUCAGCUGCCCUCGUGGACCAAACCUCCUCCUCCAGAUGCUUCUGCCUCUGCCGCUCUGAAUCUGAAGCAAGACAUCCACAGCAGGAUCUAGCUACUCCAGGCUUCGUCCUUUGCAUAUGGUCUGCACGCGUGUGGCCACACACACUCCCGGGUUAGGCUGGGUUGAGUGUUUCCCAAGCCCCAGCACUCCCACUCAGCCUGGAAGGAACCGAGAA